CAGUAGCCGCGGGAAUACAGAGGGUGCGAGCGUUAAUCGGAUUUACUGGGCGUAAAGCGUGCGUAGGCGGCUUCUUAAGUCGGAUGUGAAAUCCCUGAGCUUAACUUAGGAAUUGCAUUCGAUACUGGGAAGCUAGAGUAUGGGAGAGGAUGGUAGAAUUCCAGGUGUAGCGGUGAAAUGCGUAGAGAUCUGGAGGAAUACCGAUGGCGAAGGCAGCCAUCUGGCCUAAUACUGACGCUGAGGUACGAAAGCAUGGGGAGCAAACAGGAUUAGAGACCCGGGUAGUCCCUGUCUCUUAUAC
rnacentral:rRNA from 1 species